ACUCCUACGGGAGGCAGCAGUAGGGAAUCUUCCACAAUGGGCGCAAGCCUGAUGGAGCAACACCGCGUGAGUGAAGAAGGGUUUCGGCUCGUAAAGCUCUGUUGUUAAAGAAGAACACGUAUGAGAGUAACUGUUCAUACGUUGACGGUAUUUAACCAGAAAGUCACGGCUAACUACGUGCCAGCAGCCGCGGUAAUACGUAGGUGGCAAGCGUUAUCCGGAUUUAUUGGGCGUAAAGAGAGUGCAGGCGGUUUUCUAAGUCUGAUGUGAAAGCCUUCGGCUUAACCGGAGAAGUGCAUCGGAAACUGGAUAACUUGAGUGCAGAAGAGGGUAGUGGAACUCCAUGUGUAGCGGUGGAAUGCGUAGAUAUAUGGAAGAACACCAGUGGCGAAGGCGGCUACCUGGUCUGCAACUGACGCUGAGACUCGAAAGCAUGGGUAGCGAACAGGAUUAGAUACCCUGG
rnacentral:rRNA from 1 species